rnacentral:rRNA from 1 species
UACGUAGGGCGCGAGCGUUGUCCGGAAUUAUUGGGCGUAAAGGGCUCGUAGGCGGUCUGUCGCGUCGGAUGUGAAAGCCCGGGGCUUAACCCCGGGUCUGCAUUCGAUACGGGCAGACUAGAGUGUGGUAGGGGAGAUCGGAAUUCCUGGUGUAGCGGUGAAAUGCGCAGAUAUCAGGAGGAACACCGGUGGCGAAGGCGGGUCUCUGGGCCGAUACUGACGCUGAGGAGCGAAAGCGUGGGGAGCGAACAGG